CACUCAAGUCCCUGACUUGCAGUGGACCACAAUAUAGCCACUUCUCAGCUCCAUACCCAGAUGGAUGUCAUGGCAUGCUCUGAAAUGGACUAUGCACUCCCAGUAUUCCAGCUUUUGAGACAUUUCUUCUGAAGAAGCCAUUUUGGCUGGUUCAGUGGUAUGCAGCUUCUGGGUAUGAUAAAACCCACAAAGGUUGGUGUUUUCAUAGUAUUCCUUUUAAUCAUUAGUUACUUUUGUUCCUGUUUUCAUUUUCUUUCAGAGAAAGAACACUGCAGCACCAUCUAUGCCUACCUUUUUCUCAGCGUUUAUAAAAAAAAAUUCAUAUUCCCUACAAAGCAAAACUAUGGUAUAACAGGACAACUAAGACUGCCCUGGCACCAGAGAAACUACAAUCUAGAUGUGCUCUGCUUCCAGUCGGCCGAGAAGCCUGCAGCAAAUCACCUAAACACUUAAGGUCUUUGUGUGCCAUCCACACCCAACUGCAACUAGAGACUUUCAUUAGCCCCUUUCUGUCUCAGAGCUUUCGGUGGUUCUACAAGUCACCAGCCUGGAUCUCUAACAAUGUGUC
rnacentral:lncRNA from 1 species